CACGUAGUUAGCCGGGGCUUCUUAGUCAGGUACCGUCUUUCUUCUUCCCUGCUGAUAGAGCUUUACAUACCGAAAUACUUCUUCACUCACGCGGCGUUGCUGCAUCAGGGUUUCCCCCAUUGUGCAAUAUUCCCCACUGCUGCCUCCCAUAGGAGUUUGGGCCGUGUCUCAGUCCCAAUGUGGCCGGCCACCCUCUCAGGUCGGCUACUGAUCGUCGCCUUGGUGGGCCGUUACCUCACCAACCAGCUAAUCAGACGCGGAUCCAUCCCAUACCACCGGAGUUUUUCACACCGGACCAUGCGGUCCUGUGCGCUUAUGCGGUAUUAGCAGUCAUUUCUAACUGUUAUCCCCCUGUAUGAGGCAGGUUAUCCACGCGUUACUCACCCGUCCGCCGCUAAGUCAUAUCCGCUUCCAUCCGAAAACUUCCGCUAAUACGCUUCGCUCGACUUGCAUGUGUUAAGCACGCCGCCAGCGUUCAUCCUGAGCCAGGAUCAAACU
rnacentral:rRNA from 1 species